AGUUCGCUUCGCUCGUGUGCAGUGGAAAUCCUUUUGUGCCGGGGUUCGGCACAAAAGAUUGCAACGGAUAGCGGGAAAAAGC
rnacentral:sRNA from 1 species